rnacentral:rRNA from 1 species
UACGGGGGGAGCAAGCGUUGUUCGGAUUUACUGGGCGUAAAGGGCGCGUAGGCGGCGCAACAAGUCACUUGUGAAAUCUCCGGGCUUAACCCGGAGCGGUCAAGUGAUACUGUCGUGCUAGAGUGCGGAAGGGGCUACUGGAAUUCUCGGUGUAGCGGUGAAAUGCGUAGAUAUCGAGAGGAACACUUGCGGCGAAGGCGGGUAGCUGGGCCGACACUGACGCUGAUGCGCGAAAGCCAGGGGAGCGAACGGG